GGGCACAUGGUGUAGUUGGUUUAUCACGCCCGCUUAGCAUGCUCUUGGUAGUAUCUGGUGCGGGAGGUGUUGGGUUCAAUUCCCAAUGUGUCCA